rnacentral:lncRNA from 1 species
ACCUAGCUUUCUAAAAUGCUUACAUUUAUUAACCUAUAAAACAAGAAGACUCUGCUGUUGGCAAACCAUGCAGUGUGAGCUUUUCGCAGUGUAGUAGCUCUUGGUUCUACAAAAUGUGGAAAUUUGCCCCCCCCCUUUUAAAAUCCCCCCAUGCAUUUAUGACAUUGCCUAAGUGAUGAGUUGAAAUAUGUGGCAUUGACCGUAAGGAGCAUUCAUUCACUAUUUACUGAGCAACAUCUUGGCGCCAGCGACUGUGCAAAGUGCUUAUCACUUUAAGAGGAGAGGAGUCAAACAAUACCCAUUGUGGAGGUGUUACAGCUAAAUGUUUUCAAAUUUUCCUUUCUUGUCUCCUAAAAGUUUGCCUUCGAGUAAAUUCUUUCUUUGGCCCUUUCUGGGUUUUGUUAGAAUGAAUAUACCAGGAGAUUUAGGACAAAAAGGCUAAGAGUUGCCUAAAAAUAUAAAUCUUAUAAUUCCUCAAUGGCUUUGUGGGCACCUGCUUACCCUGUUAGUACUUGCCUAAAUUAAAAAAAAAAAAAAUUUCCCCCAGCAACAAAGUUUUAUUUAAAAAAUAAGACAUGAGGAGAAUUGGACAAAGUGUUGAAAAGAACUUCAACUCCUCUGAAUCACUGAAUUAAAGUCAAUUAAGUAGCAUUGAGGUGGUAGAAAGACGAGGAAGACCCCGGGGCUCAGGUCACUUCCAAAUUAAAGGAAUUGAAGAGAGGCUCUGGGAUUGUGUGUGGAGCAGAGGGGCCAGGGGCAGGGAUGGGGAAGGAAAACUGGACCAGAACGGACAGAUAAACUGAUUGUGCAGGUUCUUCCAAUCACUCACUUUAGCGUCAGGGAAACUGAGGCACAGACAAGCUAGGCGACCUGCCCAAGACCACACAGCUAGAAUCCACACCUGCCUGUUCAGGGAGGUUCAGCUCUGGGUUCUGCAAGACCAUCCCGACAGCCCAGACUCUCCCCGCCCGCGCGCGCCCCCGCCAGACCGAGCACGGUUCACGCCCAGCCCCCAGUGAAGCAGCCGGCCAGUAGGGGUCCCCGGUGCCCCUGGUGCCGGCCCGGCAGAGCGGCGAGGGCGAGGGUCGGGGUGGACACCGGGUCCUGGAGGCCGGAGCGGGUUACCUGCGCUACGCCGCGCUCUCCCGCGAGGUCUGAGGCCCCUGGAGCGGGAACGCCGGGGUCACCGCCCACCGGGCCCGCCCCGAGGGGCCCCGCCGCCCGCCGCCCGCCGCCCGCCGCCCGCCGCUCGCCACCCGCCGCCGCGCUCCCGCCGUCCGGGUCCGCUCGCCCCGCGGCCGCCGAGGCCGUUAGGGCCUCUCCCUCCCCGCCAGCAGCCGGCCCUCCGCGCCGCCACUGGUUGCCAUGGGGACGCGGCCGGAACAAGCCGCCGCCGCGGAGGGAUGAAAUUGUUUUGGAAGGGAUGAGGAGAGCAGGAAGUUCCUGA